GACGAACGCUGGCGGCGUGCUUAACACAUGCAAGUCGAACGGAAAGGCCCUGCUUUGGUGGGGUGCUUGAGUGGCGAACGGGUGAGUAACACGUGAGUAACCUGCCCUUGACUUUGGGAUAACUUCAGGAAACUGGGGCUAAUACCGGAUAGGAGCUCCUGCUGCAUGGUGGGGGUCGGAAAGUUUCGGCGGUCGGGGAUGGACUCGCGGCCUAUCAGCUUGUUGGUGGGGUAGUGGCUUACCAAGGCUUUGACGGGUAGCCGGCCUGAGAGGGUGACCGGCCACAUUGGGACUGAGAUACGGCCCAGACUCCUACGGGAGGCAGCAGUGGGGAAUAUUGCACAAUGGGCGGAAGCCUGAUGCAGCAACGCCGCGUGCGGGAUGACGGCCUUCGGGUUGUAAACCGCUUUCGCCUGUGACGAAGCGAGAGUGACGGUAAUUGGUAAAGAAGCACCGGCUAACUACGUG
rnacentral:rRNA from 1 species